AAGCGUUCAUCGAGGGACAGCACGGACUACUGAAGGCAGCAAAAGGGGAUGCCAAAUACACAUGGAAAAAUAGAAAGGGGCAGCAGCAGACACAUGAGUCCAGAGUGAGUGCAGGGUCAAGUGCAUCUUUGUCAGGGAGAAAAUCAGUGUCAGGACGACAAAUGGAACAGAGUAGCAGCAGCAGAUCAAGGAGUCCAUCCAGUGCAACAGAGUCAAGAGCAUCUGUGUCAGAGAGUCAACCUGUGUCAAGAAGAAAACAAAGGUACAAUAAGAGAGGCAACAGGGAUUCCUAUAACUUAGUAUAGCCUAGAUAACUUGGUAGUCAACAGUAUGCCAUCAUGUAUAGUUAACCUAGUAUCUGC
ensembl:lncRNA